rnacentral:rRNA from 1 species
AGUCGAGGGGCAGCAUGAACUUAGCUUGCUAAGUUUGAUGGCGACCGGCGCACGGGUGAGUAACACGUAUCCAACCUGCCGAUGACUCGGGGAUAGCCUUUCGAAAGAAAGAUUAAUACCCGAUGGCAUAGUUCUUCCGCAUGGUAGAACUAUUAAAGAAUUUCGGUCAUCGAUGGGGAUGCGUUCCAUUAGGUUGUUGGCGGGGUAACGGCCCACCAAGCCUUCGAUGGAUAGGGGUUCUGAGAGGAAGGUCCCCCACAUUGGAACUGAGACACGGUCCAAACUCCUACGGGAGGCAGCAGUGAGGAAUAUUGGUCAAUGGACGAGAGUCUGAACCAGCCAAGUAGCGUGAAGGAUGACUGCCCUAUGGGUUGUAAACUUCUUUUAUACGGGAAUAAAGUGAGGCACGUGUGCCUUUUUGUAUGUACCGUAUGAAUAAGGAUCGGCUAACUCCGUGCCAGCAGCCGCGGUAAUACGGAGGAUCCGAGCGUUAUCCGGAUUUAUUGGGUUUAAAGGGAGCGUAGGCGGACGCUUAAGUCAGUUGUGAAAGUUUGCGGCUCAACCGUAAAAUUGCAGUUGAUACUGGGUGUCUUGAGUACAGUAGAGGCAGGCGGAAUUCGUGGUGUAGCGGUGAAAUGCUUAGAUAUCACGAAGAACUCCGAUUGCGAAGGCAGCUUGCUGGACUGUAA